UGGGGAAUUUUGGACAAUGGGCGAAAGCCUGAUCCAGCAAUGCCGCGUGUGUGAAGAAGGCCUUCGGGUUGUAAAGCACUUUUGUCCGGAAAGAAAUCCUUGGCUCUAAUACAGUCGGGGGAUGACGGUACCGGAAGAAUAAGCACCGGCUAACUACGUGCCAGCAGCCGCGGUAAUACGUAGGGUGCAAGCGUUAAUCGGAAUUACUGGGCGUAAAGCGUGCGCAGGCGGUUUGCUAAGACCGAUGUGAAAUCCCCGGGCUCAACCUGGGAACUGCAUUGGUGACUGGCAGGCUAGAGUAUGGCAGAGGGGGGUAGAAUUCCACGUGUAGCAGUGAAAUGCGUAGAGAUGUGGAGGAAUACCGAUGGCGAAGGCAGCCCCUGGGCCAAUACUGACGCUCAUGCACGAAAGCGUGGGGAGCAAACAGGAUUAGAUACCCUGGUAGUCCACGCCCUAAACGAUGUCAACUAGUUGUUGGGGAUUCAUUUCCUUAGUAACGUAGCUAACGCGUGAAGUUGACCGCCUGGGGAGUACGGUCGCAAGAUUAAAACUCAAAUGAAUUGACGGGGUCAUAGCUG
rnacentral:rRNA from 1 species